rfam:Robiginitalea biformata HTCC2501, complete genome.
GCAGGUGUGGUGGAAUUGGUAGACACGCUAGUUUCAGGUACUAGUGCCGCAAGGCUUGGAGGUUCGAGUCCUCUCACCUGUA